rnacentral:rRNA from 1 species
UACGUAGGGUGCGAGCGUUAAUCGGAAUUACUGGGCGUAAAGCGUGCGCAGGCGGCUGUGCAAGACAGGUGUGAAAUCCCCGGGCUUAACCUGGGAACUGCACUUGUGACUGCAUGGCUGGAGUACGGCAGAGGGGGAUGGAAUUCCGCGUGUAGCAGUGAAAUGCGUAGAGAUCGGGAGGAACAUCAGUUGCAAAGGCGGCUCUCUGGACCAGCACUGACACUGAGGCACGAAAGCGUGGGGAGCAAACAGG